GAUUAAGCCAUGCAUGUGUAAGUGUAAAUAUCAAAGUUUGGAACUGCGAAUGGCUCAUUAUAUCAGUUAUAGUUUAUUUGGUGAAGGAUACUAAUUGGAUAACCGUAGUAAUUCUAGGGCUAAUACAUGAGAAAGUCCUCUGGUGAGGUGUGUUUAUUAGAAUGAAAACCAUAUGCUUCGGCAUGAUAGUGAGUAAUAGUAACCUAUCGUAUCGCAUGCUUAAUGUAGCGAUGAGUCUUUCAAGUUUCUGCCCUAUCAGCUUUCGAUGGUAGCAUAUGGGUCUACCAUG
rnacentral:rRNA from 1 species